AUGGAGAGCUCAGUCCAGAGCUGGUGGGUGCUUCCCCUGACCUUGCUCCCGGCCAUCUCCGGUGGCCAGGAUGGCGGCAUCGCCGCAACCACACUCCCCGCCGUAGCCACCAGCUUCGCCUACGUCGCCGUCCUCGCCUGCCUCGCGUGGGCGGCCGCCGCGCUGCUUUACUGGGCGCACCCGGGCGGCCCUGCAUGGGGCCGGUACUGGCGGGGCAGGGGCCAGGGCGCGGGCCUACGACGUGCCAUCCCGGGCCCGAAGGGGCUCCCCGUCGUCGGCAGCCUCGGGCUCAUGUCCGGGCUGGCGCACCGCUCGCUGGCCGACGAGGCGGCGCGCCGGCCCGGGGCCAAGCGGCUCAUGGCGCUGUCCCUCGGCCCCGUCCGCGCCGUCGUCGCCUCCCACCCGGACGUCGCCAAGGAGAUCCUCGACAACCCGGCCUUCGCCGCGCGCCCGCUCAACCACGCCGCCUACAGCCUCAUGUUCCACCGCUCCAUCGGCUUCGCUGAGCACGGGCCCUACUGGCGCGCGCUCCGCCGCGUCGCGUCGGGCCACCUGUUCGGCCCGAGGCAGGUCGACGCCUUCGCGCCAUACCGCGCGCGCGUCGCCGGCGACGUGGUCGCGGCGCUGCGCGGCGCCGGGGCGGGCGUGGUGGAGCUGCGCGGCGUCCUCCGCCGCGCCUCGCUCUACUACAUCAUGCGGUUCGUGUUCGGCAAGGAGUACGACGUGUCGGCGCCGCAGUCGUCGUCCGGCGAGGUGGAGGAGCUGCUGGAGAUGGUGCACGAAGGGUACGAGCUCCUCGGGAAGGAGAACUGGUGCGACUACUUCCCGGGGCUCGCCGCCGUCGACCCGCAGGGCAUCGGGGCCCGGUGCGCCGAGCUCAUGCCGCGGGUGAACCGCUUCGUGCACGGCAUCAUCCGGGAGCACCGCGCCAAGGCGACGCUCACCGCCAGUGGAGAGGCGCCGCGUGACUUCGUCGACAUAUUGCUUUCCCUGCAGGACAGCGAGGGGCUCGCCGACGCCGACAUCGCCGCCGUGCUCUGGGAGAUGAUCUUCAGAGGAACGGACGCCAUGGCGGUGCUGAUGGAGUGGGCCAUGGCGCGCCUGGUGCUCCACCGCGACGUGCAGGCCAAGGUGCACCGCGAGCUCGACGAGGUGGUCGGCCGGAGCAGCCCGGCCGCCGAGUCGUCCCUGCCGGCGCUGCCCUACCUGCAGGCGCUGAUCAAGGAGGCCCUCCGCGUGCACCCGCCGGGGCCGCUGCUGUCGUGGCGCCACAGGGCGAUCACCGACACGUACGUCGACGGCCACCUCGUCCCCGCCGGCACCACGGCCAUGGUGAACCAGUGGGCCAUGAGCCGCGACCCGGAGGUGUGGGACGCGCCGCUCGAGUUCCGGCCGGAGCGGUUCCUGGCCGGCGGCGAGGCGCCGGAUGUGUCCGUGCUCGGCGCCGACGGCCGGCUCGUGCCGUUCGGGUCCGGCCGGAGGAGCUGCCCCGGCAAGUCCCUGGCCAUGACCACGGUGACCGCGUGGAUGGCCACCCUGCUGCACGAGUUCGAGUGGGCGCCGGCGGCGUCCUCCGGCGUCGACCUGUCGGAGGUGCUCCGCCUGUCGUGCGAGAUGGCAGCGCCGCUCCAGGUCCGGGUGCGCCCGAGGAGGUGCUCCGCCUGA
rnacentral:rRNA from 1 species